GACUCACUCAACCUGGGUGUGAUGUGUCAUAUGAUUGUCAUCACAACCUCCUUGAGUGAGCGA
rnacentral:pre_miRNA from 1 species